rnacentral:rRNA from 1 species
UACGAAGGGGGCUAGCGUUGCUCGGAAUUACUGGGCGUAAAGCGCACGUAGGCGGAUUGUUAAGUCGGGGGUGAAAUCCUGGGGCUCAACUCCAGAACUGCCUUCGAUACUGGCGAUCUCGAGUUCGGGAGAGGUGAGUGGAACUGCGAGUGUAGAGGUGAAAUUCGUAGAUAUUCGCAAGAACACCAGUGGCGAAGGCGGCUCACUGGCCCGAUACUGACGCUGAGGUGCGAAAGCGUGGGGAGCAAACAGG